rnacentral:rRNA from 1 species
GAUGAACGCUAGCGGCAGGCUUAAUACAUGCAAGUCGAGGGGCAGCAGCUUUGUAGCAAUACAGGGGCUGGCGACCGGCAAACGGGUGCGGAACACGUACGCAACCUUCCUUUAACUGGAAGAUAGCCCACCGAAAGGUGGAUUAAUACUCCAUAACAUAUUGAAGAGGCAUCUCUUUGAUAUUAAAGCUCCGGCGGUUAAAGAUGGGCGUGCGUCUGAUUAGGUAGUUGGCGGGGUAACGGCCCACCAAGCCUUCGAUCAGUAGCUGAUGUGAGAGCAUGAUCAGCCACACGGGCACUGAGACACGGGCCCGACUCCUACGGGAGGCAGCAGUAAGGAAUAUUGGUCAAUGGACGCAAGUCUGACCAGCCAUGCCGCGUGGAGGAUGAAGGCCCUCUGGGUUGUAAACUUCUUUUCUUUGGGACGAAACCCCUGUUUCUACGGGGACUGACGGUACCAGAGGAAUAAGCACCGGCUAACUCCGUGCCAGCAGCCGCGGU